GGGGGGCAGAUGCAUUAAGAAGCAGAAGACAAUUUUGAAAACCAACAGAUUAUUUAUGCGAUGCUUUGCAGGUACAUUUUUACAGAUUUUACGAAUAUGUAACUCGCUCAGAUUUUUCCUUUAGACUGUCUUGCUUCCACAAGCUUGAUUAUUUUUGUAACUUAGAUUUUCACCGACUGAAGCGGUUCGACCACCCAGCGCACCUGCAUUCAGAAUCCAUGAGUAAAACGUGCUUCUGUUCUGCGUUCUGCCUGUUCCCAGUGCCACGAAAUUUUAGCCCACAUAUACAAAUGUAAAUAAUGAUAAUAGUAAUAUUAAUAAUAAUACAUUUAUUUCAGACCCAAGUAGCAUUUGUAUUUGGGGGGGCUGCCAGGCUUUCUGGGCCUGAUAGUGCAGGAAUAGCGGACAAAGUAUUUAUGAGUUGAAUUUCAGCAUGUAAAUCAUUGUAUUCAUAUCAUUCUUUCUCACUGCCCCCCUGGAAUCAUCCCUGAUCUUAUUAUUUUUUUAUCCUCUGCAUUAGCAACUCUCCCUUAUCACAGGCGUUAAUUCAGCUGCAUCCUGGGAGUCGCUCAUUUGCAUGUGAGUGAAAGAGGCAAGGAAUGCUGGGAUUUGGCCAGUUAAUCACGCACAACCCGACACCGGCGCACGUACGUAGGUUUUUUUUUUUUUUUUUUGAGAUCUCUUUCACAGAAAUGACACAGGCUGUUUUAGUCACUUCUCAAAAGGUCUCCCUGCUUAAAGGGCAAUUUAACCGCAAACAUUUUUUGGCAGUUUAUUGGUUCGAGCUGCGACCUCAGGCUGAUUCACCUGCUGACUCAUCAGGCUGCCAGGUGAGAUUCAGACUUCAGUCACAAUCCCUGCGCGUGUCGCUGUGCCCGAGCUGAGUUGUUGACAGCGGUCCUGGGAUGUGGUGUUCAGCUCAACUCGACUUGCGCGGCGGGGAAAGGACAGAUGCAUGAGAGAAAAACAGGACAUAAAGCAGUGAAAUAAGGGACUAAACAGAGGAUCUAAUGGCACAGCACAACUAUCAGACCCGUUGCUUAGCAGUGACGGCAAAUCGAAGCACUGGAGGGCCACUGUAGGGCUGCGGUUAACCAAACCACCGCUGGGCAGAGAGUGGCCCCGCCCCCCUCUGUCAGGGGCACCACGUCACAUGCGAUACAGUCUCCUAUUUCCUGCCUUCAAGGUGCACAAGAUCACAGCAUGUCAUAUAUGGGCCAACUCGGUUUUCACACUUGAGCGGGUGCAGUGAAAAGUCUCAGGUCACAUUUUGUUAAAUCACAUGUCAGAGCUGAUAUCAGUGUCCCCGUGGAAGGUAAAGGAAAUAAUUAUUUCGUUCCAGUCGAGGUGUUUUUCAGCACGGUGAACGUCACAGAUCAACAAUACUUGGCAAACCCCAAAUCAGAAUGAGCCGGUUCCCUGCAAAAGCUGCAUGACGUGGAUUAAUGGGGAACGACAGUGAAGGUUCUCCAGGGAACCAAAAUCACAUCCUCUAGAGUGAUUAAAAAGAACUACAAAUUCCAUUGGUGUUCCGUAGGCCGCGGCACACAACACGCAUUGAGAGCAGCCACCCAGGUGUGUGCUGGAUUUGUUCCUGCCAUAUUGCGAAAACUGCACAGAUUUUAAUCUCGGUUCAAAGCCCGAUGUUGAAAGCUACAAGCUCACAACCUGCUGCAACACUGUUUCUAGCACAACAGAAAGCAAAUGCAGAUACAAGCUCCGUAUUCCAGCCCAAAAAUAGUACCAGGAAUUUAUACUCAGGCCACUCUGAAGGCAAAACAACCAUAGUUUCACAACCUUUUAAAUCCCUUUUUUUCUAACACCAAUCCGAUCAAACUGCAGCCUGUAAUUCUAUAAAUGUCUACAUUAGUUAAUGGUUCACCAGAGUCUUGGAAAACACAGAUAAGGCCAAGGGUGUAGGAGAGAAUUUGAUAUUUCAAAUGCAAAGGUUUUUAGAGGGGGGGGAGACACAUGAAACCAAAUUAAAUAUUGGAGAGUACAUGUCCACCCCAGUUCCUACACCCCCGUAUUGGACUGCUGGUGAUUGAGACUCAUCCUUCUGAGAAACUGAUCGAAUGGAAAUGCCAGGAGCCGCUGAGGUCAUAGCAGCUACCUGAUGUCCUAGCAAAUCAGGAUGGAGCUUCGGGUCACAUGACUGCCAUUCCAUUUCUUUCCCCAGGCUUGUUUCUAAUCAAGAUGGUCUGGAUGUUUGUCUGCUGGUGCUGCCUGUUCUCCACGCUCCUUAAACCUUCGUUCGACACGUUGUCCAUUUGAUACUUAACAGUUGAUAGAUGUUGAUAGGUCUUUGGCUUUUGUUCACCCUUAAUUCUUAAAAUAUUUAACAAUGUAACUCAUGGAAGGUGGUGUUUUAACAAAAAAAAACAUGCUUAUUUACAGUUAACAAGGCAGCUUUGUGGAGAACAGAAGUGAUUGAAUGUCACUCAUACUGCAUUCAAUGCAGGUGAACUGAGCCUGUGCGUCCAUGAAACUGUCAACAGCAACUUUCAGUGGCAGAUUUCCAGUCGACAUCUGACACGGGGGCAAACAUCAUGGCCUGCUGUCAAGGAGAUCUAAGGGGAGAACAAGAAUACCAGUUAGCUUACAGACAGUUAAAUAAGCUUUAAUGCCGGUGCCCCCCCCCCCCCCCAGUGAAGGAAGUAUGUCCAAGACAAGUGAAAUCUGCUUGCUAAGUUGGAGCCCCCUCAGAAGAUGCCGCUCUAGGCAGCCGGCAAUGUCGCCUUUUCAACUGACCGGCACUGAGUACGAGGCACGUCCACGACGAACGGCAGCCCUCGACACGCCAGAGAAACUUCCGUCAGGCUUGGAUGAGAAAAAAAAAAGGCAGCCGUUUCCAGCAGAUACUCGGCGCCAUCUCAUUCGUGUCCCUCGCGAAGUCUGCCGAUAAUCGUAAGCCCUGCCGCUUCUCCUAGCCAUUUUUAAUCCUGCCGCGGUGCACGAACUUGCUGAAAAUACCACGGUGUAUCUCGGCCAAUAAAUCUAAAUCACUGGACUGAAAACUACUGAAAUGAAGCCGCUUAAAGACGCAUGGAUGGACAGAAUGAAAGAUAAACAUAACCGAGUUCCUGUCUAUCGACUGCUGUAAACUGUGGACCAGUCACUUAAAAAGUGACAUAACCAGAAUUUUGAUGAAGAUGAACAAAUUCGCCACAUUACAAGUUUUGACAGAAUGUAAAAUAAAGAACCGACUUUA